rnacentral:tmRNA from 1 species
GGGGCUGACCUGGAUUUGACAGCGAGGCUAGGUGAUGUGUAAGCAUGCCGAGCAAUGUGAUACCGGCUCGUAAAUCAUGGAUCGCAACAUUUUAUCUGGCGAAGAAAAUUACGCUCUCGCUGCUUAAUCGAAGUAUAGUAGAUUAGCAUCAUCCUUGCUCAAGGAGCUUGGACGAGACACUUUCCGGGUGCCGAUUCCCGAGGCGGCCCGAUUCGGAGGUGUAGGAAUAUUGGGAAUAGUCUGCGGACGGCCUCUGUCCAAAGGCGAAAAUCUAAGAGGCUAAGGAGAUGUCGGGGUGUCUGUUCCCAAACCUCUCACAAAAACCAAUAACAGAAUAAGCAUGUAGAAAGCAUAUGACUUACUUGUUUGGACGAGGGUUCGAUCCCCUCCAGCUCCACUU